GUAGUCCACGCCGUAAACGAUGUCUGCUAGCCGUUGGAUUGCUUGACGAUUCAGUGGCGGAGCUAACGCGAUAAGCAGACCGCCUGGGGAGUACGGCCGCAAGGUUAAAACUCAAAUGAAUUGACGGGGGCCCGCACAAGCGGUGGAGUAUGUGGUUUAAUUCGACGCAACGCGAAAAACCUUACCCGGUCUUGACAUCCUAGGAACCCUUUAGAGAUAGAGGGGUGCCGCAAGGAGCCUAGAGACAGGUGCUGCAUGGCUGUCGUCAGCUCGUGUCGUGAGAUGUUGGGUUAAGUCCCGCAACGAGCGCAACCCUUGUCCUUAGUUGCCAGCAUUCAGUUGGGCACUCUAAGGAGACUGCCGGUGACAAACCGGA
rnacentral:rRNA from 1 species